AAAAGAUCUGCAUGACUAACUGGAGAGUCUCAUCUCGCAAUAAUGUGCCUUUUGUUGCUGAACCCUCUCCAAUCACACAGUGCUCAGAGAGGAUUUGUUCUAUCUGAAAUCUGCUCAUUCAGUGGAACAACUACAGAAGCAGCAUCCCUGGAAAGUGUGACAGCCAUGAAAUUGAUGGAAAGUGUGACAGCCAUGAAAUAAUUAUCUGCCUUACCAGACACAGAUGGCAUUGAGGAUGUGGUGAUUCCUCUGACUGAAGAGCAGGUUGGAGGAAAGCUGUCCAGGGGGAAUAAUCAGCUGCUGCUGCACUCUAUCCCAGCACGUAUCUUUCCAAGAAGGUUUAGAGGAUGUAAAGGUCAACCCCAAAUCCUCAGUUCAGCAGGACAAACAUUCAAAACUUUAAGCAUUCUUACAAGUGAAUCUGAUGUGAAUGCACAGAACCAUAGUAAAUAAGACUGGAAAAGAUCCCUAGAGGCUAUUUAGUUCAUGCUAUUUAGUUGUUUCAAGUACCCCAGGACUUCAAAGAGAAAUUCUCCAUACCGUACUUAGUACUAACAGCAUGCUUUGGGGAGCUGUUUUGUAGCAGCUGACAAUAGAUAAUAACUUGUUCUAGGUGAGUUGCAAGUUGUCCAGAAUACGACUAUGAGCACAGCCAUCAGAAAUAAAAAAAUACAACUACACCAGAGAAGCCUGUAUCUUUGGAUCAGAGAAUCAUAAAAUGGUAUGGGUUGGAAGGGACCUUAAGGAUCAUCAAGUUUCAACCCUCUUGAUUCCAUAAAGAUAGCCUUGGUUUAUUGUGAAAAAUUGCUUGCUUAACUGGCAUGUCUGCAAACUCUCAGAAAGCAAAGAAGCCAGACUGGGAGAAUCCUUCUUGUAUGUGACUCUCAGAGGUACAGAUCCCACCAGUCUUGCUAAAUCCCCUUUUACUGUUACAGUAUGUCUGCACAUGAUAGUCACGUAAAUUUUUUGCCAAUUUCUAAACUUUGUGGGAGGUGGACUCCAUGGUCACCACCAUCCCUGCUCCCCACUCCCCGCAGCUUCUCAAUCUGAGUGCCUUCAUAUUCAAACUGGCAGACUGUGGCAUUCAUCACAGUUUUUUCCUCUGCAAAAGAAAGAGCACCAGAGGCAAAACUUGGGCUAGGACACAGCUAGGGAAUGCACCAGGCCCAAGGAGCUGGAUAGCCUAAAUUAUGUGUACUUUCCUGGGACAUACCAUCUGGGGAUCCCAUCUGCGUGUCACCUGUCACAGAUAUUGAUGGACUCUUGGAAACUUUGAGGGUUUGUGGAAAAAAAGAGUCAGGCAAGAGUUUAGCUCAAAGGCAUUAAAAGCACAGCCUAGGUAUCACCUGUCACAACAUUUAUGAACUCCACAUAAGCCAGCUUUGAAAAAUAAACCUUUUUCUUUUGCAAAAGUCAUAACUGGCAAGUGACUAAGGAGGAAAAUACAUGGACCAAAACAAUGCAGAUCUAAAACAGUAUUUCUUAAUGCAGCCUUGUGGCUGCUGCUUCCCAAUAUGUUCAAUAUGGACAGUUCCAAAUACCAGAACACAAGAUUUAUUUGGAUUAUAAAUAGAUGUUGCCCUGUGCUUCAGUAUCAGAAGCACUCUAUUGUGUAAACAGAAGACUAUUGGCUUUUGUUUCUACUUUUAAAGCUUCCAUGUACUCUUUGCUGACAGCCUUUUUCACCUGUUAGAGUUGAGUCUCUCACUUGGGUAUCAACACCUCUACAGCCUGCUGAGAGGCUUCACUUGAAGCUGUUAAAAUGUCUCCUCUCAUAUGCCCUUUCCUCCAGUCUCUUGGAUGCUCUCCAGCUGGCCUCGCUACUCUGUUAGCUUUUAGUCAGCCCAGCUUAAUGAACAUGGCUUGGGUUUGGCAUUGUCUUCAUUUCUGCAUGUAUUUUUUAUCCAGAGAA